UACGUAGGGUGCGAGCGUUGUCCGGAAUUAUUGGGCGUAAAGAGUAUGUAGGCGGUUGCGUAAGUUCGGUGUGAAAUCUCCCGGCUUAACUGGGAGGGUGCGCCGAAAACUGCGUGGCUUGAGUGCGGGAGAGGAGAGCGGAAUUCCUGGUGUAGCGGUGAAAUGCGUAGAUAUCAGGAGGAACACCGAUGGCGAAGGCAGGUCUCUGGGCCACUACUGACGCUGAGAAGCGAAAGCAUGGGGAGCGAACAGG
rnacentral:rRNA from 1 species